CAAAAGAAAAACGAAUAAAACAAAAAAAAGAACAAAAACAAAAACGAAAACAAACAAAAAUAAAAACAUUAGGGUUUGCUUCUUCUUCGUCGUAAACUGAGAAAAGGGUUAUUGAGAACGGUGAUUUCCUAACCCACGUUGAACGGUGAUUUCUUAACCCACCAGUUAUGCCAUAGACAAAAGAGUUGAUGUUCUUAUGGAUGAUAUUUCGAUCGGUGUUUGGUGAUUUAGUGUUUAAGAAGAAAUUGCUGAUGAAACUUAAGGGGGAAUCGGAGGUGAAAUUGAUAAGGGUUAUUGAGAACUGAGAUUGAUGAUUAAGUUAAGACAACUGAAGAAUCUCAGAAACUAGGGUUUGGUUUUGGGAAGAGCAGCUAAGACUGAUUCUUAUUUGUUUCCUAUCCCUAAUCUUCAAACGACGUCAACAAAUCAACAUGUGCAAUAGCAUCAUCCUUAUGAGAUUUUCUGAUUUACCGUUGAUUUCCUGAAAAUUUAAGCGUGAUAGAAGUUUGUAAGCUCUAUAAUGAAAAGAGAGUUUUGUUUCUGUCCUUGGAAUUCGAUUCUGUACUCAAUUAUAUGAUAGGAAUCUGGAGAAGGGAGUUCUGUACUCCAGAUUUAAGGUGAUAAUUGUCUGUGAUGCUCUUGCACAAUCUGGAGAAGGGAGCUCACAUGCAUCAUUGUGGUAACAUUCAGGAGCGGAAGCUAUGGUGAUUUUAAAGAGAGCAUGGAGAAGAGGUUAUAGAUCAAACUCUCCAUUCUCUUUCUCUAAAUUUCUUGCAGAUGAGAACAUUUCGUGUACAUUGAUCGACCCUUCACAUUAUUGCAGUAGGACUGUCUUUGAGGAUGCCACACACAAAUUGGUCAAGCACUUCUUCUUGGAUGAUGGUUUCCGGUCCAAUAUCAUGAUGCAAUGCUACAUAAGGGGGAUGCCCCAUCGAAAGAACUGUGGUAGUUCAUUGGACAGUAAGGUUUGGUGAUUAUCUUAGCCUCUUCAUGUUUAAUGGACUAGGCUUGACUCAUCUUCUUAGUUGAAUUCCUUUGAUAAUAUUAUUUUAAUUUCUAUAUUUUGGUGAAGUUUCCCUUUGUCUACAACGACAGUGAAUACAUUAUAGGAAUACAUAAUAGGACCUCGAAUAUGGGAGGCAGGAAGAUCAUAUUGGUGUAUCGCUAAGGCACAAGCAUUAGGUGCUUCAGAAAUCAUAUAAAUGUCGAUGAGCAACGUAGAAGACAGUCAAACUCAUGGUUAUGCCAACCGUACUCAUGAAGAACAAUGGAAGUUGUGGUUGAAAGUCAAACUCAUAGUUAUGCCAACCGUGCUCAUGAAGAACAACGAAAUCUGCAAUUGAAGUUCGACUUAGAACCAGGAAAGUGUUGCAAUAUGUCUGUUUAACAAAUUGAUUUGGAACAAAUAAACUCAGGCCGCUCUUUGCCACUAGCAUCCCCCACAUCCUAAAUCACUGUGAUACUAUGUCGGGCAAAGAUCCAUAGCGUUGAGUUUGAGUUCUUUUUACCGAUAGUAUUGGAGAUGCUUCUGCAUUUACUUUUGCAGACCUAUAGAUUAACGGCUUUGGUUUAUUAGUAUGCAGGUGAAUGGUAUGGUUCACUGAGCUCACUGCGAAUCUAGCUGUAUACCAUUUUGGUUAUGCCUCACUGCAGAAACAUAAGAACUCGAGUAGGAGGUGUUAUCAGUUGGAAGAAAUCGAGUACUGUGAUAGUGCAAAAGGUAAAAAGUCUCGAAACGGCAGUUUCUGUUGAAGUUCAGGGAAUACUUGGACGAAACAAAGGUGCCUAAGAUGAUAAUAUCCCUAAAUCGAUUAGUUUUCGUACGCAAUAGCAGAACAAAUUGCAUGGUGAUAGUGUACCAUCAGUUUAGGCUCAGACAAUAGCAUUCACUUCGGAAGAAAAAACCAUCAGCUCCUACUACUACUACUAUUGACCAGGCAUGUUUCGUUGUCCGGCAUUGAUUCUUUAACCCCAAGGUGCCCGUAAAUAAGAAACUUGGCGACACCAAAUCAAAAAUGCAUCGGGAUCAAAUCGGGACAGGGCGAGGCGAGGCGGAGCCGAAACCGAGCUUUACCAAAUCAUAUCGAGACUGGGCGAGGCGAAGCCGAAGCCCAGCUUUACCAAAUCAUAUCGGAACGGGGCGAGACGAAGCCGAGCUUUACCAAAUCAAAUGGGGACGGGCGAGGCGAAGCGAAGCCGAGCUUUACCUAAUCAUAUCGGGACUGAGUGAGGGGAAGCCGAAGCCCGACUCUACCAAAUCAUAUCGGGACGGGACGGAGCGAGGCAAAGCCGAGCUUUACCAAAUCAAAAAAAUAUUUCAAAGAAAGAGGCAGUGAUGCAUUGUAUUUGUAGUUGGUGCGUAACUAUGUCAUUCUAUUUGUAGUUGUAGAUUGAAUUGGUGAACCAAGUUUGCGAAGCCGCCCGGGUAUAGCACGGGCACAAAAUCUAGUAUAUAUCUAUAUUUUAAAAAGAAGUGUUGUGUGUAGCCUUACAAAUCCGACCAUCGAUUUUGUCAUCCCACGGCUAGGAUCGCUCAGUUGUAUGUUGUAUAAAAAUAUAUGGUCGUCCGUUGG